rnacentral:rRNA from 1 species
UACGUAGGGGGCAAGCGUUGUCCGGAUUUAUUGGGCGUAAAGAGCGUGUAGGCGGCCAGUCAGGUCCGUUGUGAAAACUCGAGGCUCAACCUCGAGACGCCGAUGGAAACCGAUUGGCUAGAGUCCGGAAGAGGAGAGUGGAAUUCCCGGUGUAGCGGUGAAAUGCGCAGAUAUCGGGAAGAACACCCGUGGCUAAGGCGGCUCUCUAGUACGGUACUGACGCUGAGACGCGAAAGCGUGGGGAGCGAACAGG